GACGUAGGAUGCAAGCGUUGUUCGGAUUUAUUGGGCGUAAAGCGAGCGUAGGUGGCUAGAUAAGUCUGGUGUUAAAGCUAGGGGCUCAACCCCUGUGUUGCACUGGAAACUGUCUGGCUUGAGGAUGGUAGGGGAAGGUGGAAUUCCGAGUGUAGCGGUGAAAUGCGUAGAUAUUCGGAAGAACACCAGUGGCGAAGGCGACUCACUGGCCCGAUACUGACGCUGAGGCGCGAAAGCGUGGGGAGCAAACAGG
rnacentral:rRNA from 1 species